CUCCUAAAUGUUCUGGGCUGCACGCGCACUACACUGAUGCUAGAAACGAGUUGCGCUCUUCUGAGCCCUGGCUAGAAAUGGCUGGGAAAUCUUUGGAAAUAGCAUCGUGACUGAGAUAGAUGAUUGCAAUUAUUUGCCUUGAACGAGGAAUGCCUAGUAGAGAUGUUUCAUCAGAACAUCUUGAUUGCGUCCCUGUCAUUUGUACACACCGCCCGUCGUUGCUACCGAUUGGUAGUGCUUUAGAGGAUUUAGGAUAGACCUGUGCCAGUUCUCUGCGCACGUGGUUUAGAAUUUGCCCGAUAAAGCUCUACUAGAGGAAGCAAAAGUCGUANCA
rnacentral:rRNA from 1 species